rnacentral:lncRNA from 1 species
UCUUUCAAUACAAAUAAAUAGAAGUUAGGGGAAAAUAAUACACAUACAUACAUCUUAAAAUGAGAAAAUAUAUUACUAAAUGAUACUUACAAAAAAGAAAACAUAAAGAAAAAAAGAAGCAAACCUAUAGCAAACCGAAAGAGAGAUGUAAAUGAAGAAUAAUUAUUUUCUUUAUUAACUUCCCACCAACAUUAAAUUAUGAAAUAUCAUUGGAAGAACAUGUUUUUUUUUUGAAGUUUUCACCAACAUUAAAUUAAAUGAUAUUGGUUUCCACCAAUUUAUAGUCGUUUUAUUAUGAGAGUGGAUCAUUAUUCACAACCUUCAAUAUUCAUCUAUCCCUCCACAUUAUG